GACGAACGCUGGCGGCGUGCCUAAUACAUGCAAGUCGAACGCAGUGGGGACGGGUGAGUAACACGUUGGUAACCUCCCAUCAGAGGGGAUAACACUUGGCAACAGGUGCUAAACCGAUACUGAUGGAUGGACCCGCGGGGCAUUAGCUAGUUGGUGGGGUAACGGCUCACCAAGGCCACGAUGCGUAGCUGGUCUGAGAGGGUGAUCGGCCACACUGGGACUGAGACACGGCCCAGACUCCUACGGGAGGCAGCAGUAGGGAAUCUUGGGCAAUGGACGAAAGUCUGACCGAGCAACGCCGCGUGAGUGAAGAAGGUUUUCGGAUCGUAAAACACUUUUAUUAGAGAAGCGGUACCUACCCAGAAAGCAACGGCUAACUACGUGCCAGCAGCCGCGGUAAUAC
rnacentral:rRNA from 1 species